GCCGGGAUAGCUCAGUCGGUAGAGCAACCGAUUUGUAAUCGGUAGGUCGUCGGUUCGAGUCCGACCCCCGGCA
rnacentral:tRNA from 1 species